rnacentral:rRNA from 1 species
UGCGCAGGCGGUCGGGUGUGUCAGAUGUGAAAUCCCGAGGCUCAACCUCGGAACUGCGUCUGAAACUACUCGACUAGAGUACUGGAGAGGGUAACGGAAUUCACGGUGUAGCAGUGAAAUGCGUAGAUAUCGUGAGGAACACCAGAGGCGAAGGCGGUUACCUGGACAGUUACUGACGCUCAGGCACGAAAAGCAUGGGGAGGACAAAAG